rnacentral:misc_RNA from 1 species
AACGCAUAUUGCGCUCUCUGGUAUUCCGGAGAGCAUGCUUGUUUGAGUAUCAGUAAACACCUCAAGAUCUCUAUUGAGAUUUUGGAUUUGAGUGAACCCAAUCUUGAAUAAAGAGUCGGGUCACUUGAAAUGCAGGUGCGGCUGAAACUUUCUUUCUGAGCUAAAAGCAUUAUUCAUUUAGUCCUUUUCAAUAAGGAUUAUUACUUUUUUUUGCUGCAGCUAAUAUAAAGGAUUGAAAGGAGAGCUGACUGAUGCAGGAAUUUCACAGAGAGUUUCUUAACUCUUUGUUAAACUCGAUCUCAAAUCAAGUAAGAUUACCCGCUGAACUUAA